rnacentral:rRNA from 1 species
AGUUGGUGGAGUGAUUUGUCAGGUUAAUUCCCUAAACGAACGAGACCUUAACCUGCUAAAUAGAAGCGUCUACUUUCUAGACGUAUUCUUCUUAGAGGGACUAUUGAUCUAAGUCAAUGGAAGUUUGAGGCAAUAACAGG